UUACGGCCAUAUCACGUUCAAACACCGGUUCCCGUACGAUCACCGAAAGUUAAGCAACGUCGAGGCUUGUCAAUACCUUGAUGUGUUAUCGCUUGGGAAUAUCCGGUGCUGUGA